rnacentral:rRNA from 1 species
AACGAACGCUGGCGGCAUGCCUAACACAUGCAAGUCGAACGAGACCUUCGGGUCUAGUGGCGCACGGGUGCGUAACGCGUGGGAACAUGCCCUUAGGUUCGGAAUACCUCCCCGGAAGGGGUGCUAAUACCGGCUCAUAUCUUCCGACCGACGAUUUAUCGACUUUGGAUGGGCCCGCGUUGGAUUGGCUAGUUGUGAGGGUAAAAGCCUACCAAGGCGACGGUCCAUAGCUGGUCAGAGAGGAUAAUCAGCCACACUGGGACUGGGACACGGCCAAGACUCCUACGGGAGGCAGCAGUGGGGGAUAUUGGACAAUGGGGGAAAGCCUGAUCCAGCACUGCCGCGUGAGUGAUGAAGGCCGUAGGGUAGUAAAGCUCUUUUACCCGUGAUGAUAAUGACAGUACCGGGAGAAUAAGCGCCGGCUAACUCCGUG